rnacentral:rRNA from 1 species
GAGUUUUGAUCAUGGCUCAGGACGAACGCUGGCGGCGUGCCUAACACAUGCAAGUCGAGCGGAGACAGUGAGUAGCUUGCUAUGAGCUGUUUUAGCGGCGGACGGGUGAGUAACGCGUGAGCAACCUUUCCCAGACAGGGGAAUAACACACCGAAAGGUGUACUAAUACCGCAUAAGACCACGGGAUCACAUGGUUCUGGGGUAAAAGAUUUAUCGGUUUGGGGUGGGCUCGCGUCCGAUUAGGUAGUUGGUGAGGUAACCGG